GGACCCGCACAAGUAGCGGAGCAUGUGGUUUAAUUCGAAGCAACGCGAAGAACCUUACCUAAGCUUGACAUCCCAUUGACCUCUCCCUAAUCGGAGAUUUCCCUUCGGGGACAGUGGUGACAGGUGGUGCAUGGUUGUCGUCAGCUCGUGUCGUGAGAUGUUGGGUUAAGUCCCGCAACGAGCGCAACCCUUGCCUUUAGUUGCCAGCAUUAAGUUGGGCACUCUAGAGGGACUGCCGAGGAUAACUCGGAGGAAGGUGGGGAUGACGUCAAAUCAUCAUGCCCCUUAUGCUUAGGGCUACACACGUGCUACAAUGGGUGGUACAGAGGGUUGCCAAACCGUGAGGUGGAGCUAAUCCCUUAAAGCCAUUCUCAGUUCGGAUUGUAGGCUGAAACUCGCCUACAUGAAGCUGGAGUUACUAGUAAUCGCAGAUCAGAAUGCUGCGGUGAAUGCGUUCCCGGGUCUU
rnacentral:rRNA from 1 species